rnacentral:rRNA from 1 species
CCUACGGGUGGCAGCAGUGAGGAAUAUUGGUCAAUGGACGAGAGUCUGAACCAGCCAAGUAGCGUGAAGGAUGACUGCCCUAUGGGUUGUAAACUUCUUUUAUAUGGGAAUAAAAUGUUCCACGUGUGGGAUUUUGUAUGUACCAUAUGAAUAAGGCUCGGCUAACUCCGUGCCAGCAGCCGCGGUAAUACGGAGGAUCCGAGCGUUAUCCGGAUUUAUUGGGUUUAAAGGGAGCGUAGGUGGAUUCUUAAGUCAGUUGUGAAAGUUUGCGGCUCAACCGUAAAAUUGCAGUUGAAACUGGCAGUCUUGAGUACAGUAGAGGUGGGCGGAAUUCGUGGUGUAGCGGUGAAAUGCUUAGAUAUCACGAAGAACUCCGAUUGCGAAGGCAGUUCACUGGACUGCAACUGACACUGAGGCUCGAAAGUGUGGGUAUCAAACAGGAUUAGAUACCCCUGUAGUC